rnacentral:lncRNA from 1 species
UGCCUCUCAAGGGCUGGGGCUGCAAAACAUCUCAGAGUUUGACUCUUUGCUUCGACACUACCGUCUGCAAGUUCUUGUGCUAGCCGCUGUGGGAAAGACACAGCUGAGUCAGACAUGAUCCCUGCCCUCAAGGAGCUUGUGACACCACAGUGAAGACAAGUCUAUUUUGGUGCUGAAGGGAAACAGAUGAAGAACAUGACCUCAAGGAGCUUCCUGUCAAUGAGAAGACCAAGCUGACGCCUGGCAAAGAUAUUAAAGAGGAGCCUGAAACUGUUCCUUGGACAUCUUAUGAAUGUCAGAAAAUACCUUUUGGAGGGUUAGAAGAUCAGGGGACAUGGUUGUUCACAUUUGCUGCCACGGAACACCGCCAGUCUUCACUUGGAAACAGAAUCACGCCUUGUGAAGAGAUCAUCCCUAAGCAGGAGAGAAGCUACUAAAGGAUUGUGUCCUCCUCCACCUUCCCUGUGCUCGGUCUCCACCUGUCUCCCAUUCUGUGACGAUGGUUCAAUGGAAGAGACUCUGCCAGCUGCAUUACUUGUGGGCUCUGGGCUGCUAUAUGCUGCUGGCCACUGUGGCUCUGAAACUUUCUUUCAGGUUGAAGUGUGACUCUGACCACUUGGGUCUGGAGUCCAGGGAAUCUCAAAGCCAGUACUGUAGGAAUAUCUUGUAUAAUUUCCUGAAACUUCCAGCAAAGAGGUCUAUCAACUGUUCAGGGGUCACCCGAGGGGACCAAGAGGCAGUGCUUCAGGCUAUUCUGAAUA